rnacentral:rRNA from 1 species
UACGAAGGGUGCAAGCGUUACUCGGAAUUACUGGGCGUAAAGCGUGCGUAGGUGGUGAGUUAAGUCUGUCGUGAAAGCCCGGAGCUCAACUCCGGAACUGCCUUUAAGACUGCAUCGCUAGAAUUGUGGAGAGGUGAGUGGAAUUCCGAGUGUAGAGGUGAAAUUCGUAGAUAUUCGGAAGAACACCAGUGGCGAAGGCGACUCACUGGACACAUAUUGACGCUGAGGUGCGAAAGCGUGGGGAGCAAACAGG